ensembl:lncRNA
CUAUGGGGUCGUCUAUGGGGUCUAUGGGGCAGCUAUGGGGCAGCUAUGGGGUCUAUGGGACCGUCUAUGGGGUCGUCUAUGGGGUCUAUGGGGCAGCUAUGGGGUCUAUGGGGCAGCUAUGGGGUCUAUGGGGUCGUCUAUGGGGCAGAUAUGGGGUCUAUGGGGUCUAUAGGGUCGUCUAUGGGGUCUAUGGGGUCUAUGGGGCAGCUAUGGGGUCUAUGGAGUCUAUGGGACACCUAUGGGGUCUAUGGGGUCGUCUAUGGGGUCUAUGGGACACCUAUGGGGGCUAUGGGACAUCUAUGGGGUCUAUGGGGCAUCUAUGGGGUCUAUGGGGCAGCUAUGGGGUCUAUGGGGUAGCUAUGGGGUCUAAGGGGCAGCUAAGGGGUCUAUGGGGUCGUCUAUGGGGCAGAUAUGGGGUCUAUGGGGUCUAUGGGGUCUAUGGGGUCUAUGGGGCAGCUAUGGGGUCUAUGGGGGGGAUAUGGGGUCUAUGGGGUAGCUAUGGGAUCUAUGGGGUCGUCUAUGGGGCAGAUAUGGGGUCUAUGGGGUCUAUGGGGUCUAUGGGGUCUAUGGGGCAGCUAUGGGGUCUAUCGGGUCUAUGGUGUCAUCUAGGGGGUUUAUGGAGCAGCUAUGGGGUCUAUGGGGCAGCUAUGGGGUCUAUGGGGUCGUCUAUGGGGUCUAUGGGGAACCUAUGGGGUCUAUGGGGUUGUCUAUGGGGUCGUCUAUGGGGCAGCUAUGGGGUCUAUGGGGACCUAUGGGGUCUAUGGGGUCGUCUAUGGGGUCUAUGGGGAACCUAUGGGGCAGCUAUGGGGUCUAUGGGGCAGCUAUGGGGUCUAUGGGGUCGUCUAUGGGGUCUAUGGGGUCGUCUAUGGGCUCUAUGGGGUCUAUGGGGUCGUAUAUGGGGUCUAUGGGGUAGCUAUGGGGUCUAUGGGGUCUAUGGGGUCGUCUAUGGGGUCUAUGGGAUCGUCUAUGGGGUCUAUGGGGCAGCUAUGGGGUCUAUGGGGCAGCUAUGGGGUAGCUAUGGGGUCUAUGGGGUCGUCUAUGGGGUCUAUGGGGCAUCUAUGGGGUCUAUGGGGAACCUAUGGGGCAGCUAUGGGGUCUAUGGGGCAGCUAUGGGGUCUAUGGGGUCGUCUAUGGGGUCUAUGGGGGGUCUAUGGCGUCGUCUAUGGGGUCGUCUAUGGGGUUGUCUAUGGGGUAGCUAUGGGGUCUAUGGGGCAGCUAUGGGGUCUAUGGGGCAGCUAUGGGGUCUAUGGGGUCUAUGGGGCACCUAUGGGGUCUAUGGGGCACAUAUAGGGCACCUAUGGGUGCUUUGGGGUCGUCUAUGGGGUCGUCUAUGGGGUCUAUGGGGUCUAUGGGGGCACCUAUGGGGUCUAUGGGGCACUUAUGGGGUCUAUGGGGCAGCUAUGGGGUCUAUGGGGUACCUAUGGGGUCUAUGGGGCAGCUAUGGGGUCUAUGGGGCAGCUAUGGGGUCUAUGGGGUCGUCUAUGGGGCCCUAAUAGCCCUAAGAUCCUAAUAGGAUCUUACUAGUGCCCCAUAUAGGACCAGUACAGUCCCUAUAAGGGCAGACCCACAUCUGACCCUAUAUCCACCCCAUAGGAAACACCUGCAUUGAGUCACAAUGGGGAAGCUAAUUAACGAGAGCUCGUUAAGCUUAAUUAAGCUCCGUCCUAUUGUUCUAUGGGACGGGGCCCUAUAGGGUUAAGCUUAAUUAAGCUUAAUUAAGCUUCAUCCUAUUGUUAUAUGGGAUGGGGUUUAUAGGGGAUUUAUGGGGUUA